rnacentral:sRNA from 1 species
CGACAUAUCAUCAGUCAGAAACAGGCUCCCGUUCGGUCAACAACAUUUGAGCUAAACAUAAAAUUAUAUUACGAAAUUCAAAAUUGAUUUUGUAAAUCCUAAUUUCAAUAAUGGCUAAAACACGGACAAAUCCAUAUAGGAAAAAGCUUGCUUGCACUCGGACGUGAAGGCAAUUACAAAAAUAAAUAUUAAUUGCAUAAACGUAUACAUACUUCUUGUACACUAAAUAUACACUAAGUAUUUACAGUUGAUACAUAUAUGUUAUAUAACUUAUAUAUGUUAUAUGUUAUAUGUAUCAAAGGAUUGAAUUAGCCAGGUAUUGGAAUUAGGGUAAAGCACCGAGUUGCUUAAAGUCACUACUAGAAUAUGUUGCGCUUUUUAUGGCUAUGCCCAUAACAAAUUCCUCCCAAACGGGACAGAAAAUGUUCGUUUAAAUGAACGUCUUUUAUUGAGAAGCAAAAAUCUUUAUGAGGGUUUUACAAUCAUAUAUCAUUGCGUUAUAUACCAUAUAAUAAUAUCCAUACACUGGAGUUAAUUUUACAGUACGUCUAAAUAAAGCAAUUUUGAAAAUGUAAAGAAUAA